rnacentral:misc_RNA from 1 species
AUAUAUAUCAAACUUCUCUUGUUUGAGUUGUUUGGAUGUGGGGGUUUGCUGGCCUCUUAAAAGGGGUUCAGCUCUCCUGAAAUGCAUUAGCAGAACAACCUAGUUCAUUGGUGUGAUAACUAUCUACACUAUUGAAUGUGAAGGGCAGUUCAGCUUUCUAACGGUCUUUGGACAAUUUUGUCAUUA